GAUGAAGAACGCAGCGAAAUGCGAUACGUAAUGUGAAUUGCAGAAUUCAGUGAAUCAUCGAGUCUUUGAACGCACAUUGCGCCCCCUGGUAUUCCGGGGGGCAUGCCUGUCCGAGCGUCAUUGCUGCCCUCAAGCACGGCUUGUGUGUUGGGCCUCCGUCCUCCUCCCGGGGGACGGGCCCGAACGGCAGCGGCGGCACCGCGUCCGGUCCUCGAGCGUAUGGGGCUUCGUCACCCGCUCUUGUAGGCCCGGCCGGCGCUUGCCGACACAUCAAUCUUUUUUCCAGGUUGACCUCGGAUCAGGUAGGGAUACCCGCUGAACUUAAGCAUAUCAAUAAGCGGAGGA
rnacentral:misc_RNA from 1 species